rnacentral:tRNA from 1 species
GCGAGAGUGGCGGAACUGGCAGACGCGCCGGUCUUAGAAGCCGGUGGGCAACCGUGGGGGUUCAAGUCCCCCCUCUCGCACCA